rnacentral:lncRNA from 1 species
UUUUUUUUUUGUGUGUGAGAGCCAGGUAGGGCUAUUCUUCUUCGUGUCGGAGGAUCUUGGAAGUGAGACUGUCAGCACUUUAUCAUGAUCUAUUCACCGAUCUAUUCAGCCACCACUACAGGACAGGACGUUCCGCUUCCCCUUUUUCUUCAUGUGAAAUAUCCUAGCACUUUAUCAUGACCUAUUCAUCCACUUGCGCUACUACACGACAGGACGUUCCCCUUCCCCUUCUUUUUUGAAAAGCUUACGACGACGUUCCAUUUCGAAAAGUGCUGCAGAUGGGAACAUCGUUUUCAGCAGUGGAUAAGGUAGCAAGCAGCUUGGGGUCUUGGCUGCACUUUUCGAAAUGGAACUAGACAAAUAUAGAAAACGUUACUUGUGGAAAGGCUCCGAUCUCAAUACUAAAAGCAACCUCCAAAGGCAGUCUGGCCCAUCGUCUGUAUCCCUAAAAAAGAAGGUCUUGAGGUGCUGAAUCUCACAACCCACAAUGAUGCACUACUUAUGAAGUUUCUCCACAAGUUUUACUCAAAGUCAGAUAUUUCUUGAGUUCACCUUGUCUGGGAUAAUUAUUAUUCCAAUAGACAAUUACCUGGACAGAAAAAAAGAAGAUCCUUCUAGUGAAGGGAUAUAGUAAAGUUGAUCGACAAUUACAAAGGAAUGGCUACAGUCUCAUUAGGAAAUGGAUCAACUGUUCUAUUCUGGCAUGAUCUAUGAUACGGUCAAGUCCCCUCAUAGCAAUAUCCUGAACUCUUCUCUUUUGCCAAAAACCCCCUGGUGACCUUCAGAGAUGCAAUGGCAGAGAAUGAGUUUCUCACAGAAUUUCCACCUACCACUAUCCAUCCAAGCCUUUCAACAGUUUUCCGACGUUCAAGCUUUGAUUGAAAACGGACAAUAUCAUGGUGAUGUUGAUGUUUGGUCUUAUAUGUGGGGCAGUCCAAACUUCUCAGCAGCUAAAGCCUACAAGUCCUUAAUUGGUACCAGGAAUGUCCAUCCCAUCUUCCAGUGGCUGUGAAAAUCCAAGUGUCAAAUGAAGCACAAAAUUUCUUCUGGCUGGUUCUCAAGGAUCGGGUAAAUAGAAGGGAUCUCCUACUUCGGAAAGGCAUGACCCUAAAAUUCUACACUUGUGACUAUGUAUUCUUCAGAGGAUAGAAACGGUUGCUCACCUCUUCCUACGGUGCAAUUUCGCAAGGACUUGUUGGGCAUCAAUUGGGAUCACGGUGAUAACUACAAGGCCAAUCUUGCAUAUCCUCAAGAGAAUUAAACGGCAACUGAAUGUACCUUUUGCCAUGGAAAUAAUUAUCCUAAUAACUUGGUGCAUCUAGACAAUAAGGAAUGACUGGAUCUUUAAUGAUAUCAAUCCUAUGAUAGAGGAUUGCAGAAACAAGUUCAGAACUGAAUUCGCUCUUCUACUUCACAGAGCAAAGCAUAGUCUUUUGCCCCAAUGGAGAGCUGGCUUGAAGCCCUGUAAUUUUCCCUUUUCGGUUCCUCUCUUAGUUGUUUUCUCUUUUGUUUGCCUGUUUAUUUAUUUGUAACGCACUUUUAUUCCCUAUUUUAUCUAUAUAAUCACUACACUAGGGGCUUGCCCCUCCUGUUUUCUUCAAAAAAAGGUAGCAAGCAGCUCACGAAUGGACUAGAUCAAGGGGUCAGCACACAAACAAACUGCAAAACCUCAGUUCUCUUCCUACCACAAAUUAAAUACACCUGGGUGCGCAUACUUAAGCAACAUGAACGAUCAAGUCUAGCAAGUGCCGUUUCGCGGAGUAGAUCGCUUGCACGCAGAGGGCUUGGGAUGAAAAUUGGUUGGAAGGCAUCAAGGCAGCAGAGGCAGGUGCAGGCUCAACAGGAAACUCGGAUAAAGAAAGAUAUUUUGCGCGAUCUUUCAGCUUCAGCGCCCCCACAGACAAGUUGGUGGAGGAGGCAUCAACCACGACAAGAUAGCAUGUCGAUCGUUCUCGCUAUUCCUCGAGCAAUCAUACGGCACGCAUGGUCGUGUCCCUGCGUAUUCUGCCCCCUGUCGAGGUGGCCUUUCUCGGCCCGAGGAGCCGCCGCUCUCUCACUUUUCGUUGCCCUUUCCGGAGAUCUUUGGUUCAUUCUGAUUCAAUAUGAUCCGUUGAGUGUGUGUAUGUACGAUGGUCCAAAUGCACCGAGUUGAAGAAGCGUGAGAGUGCUGCCGGGGUGAGGCUGGAUCCUGCAUUGCUCGUUCCACUACGCUGCACACGAGUCUGUACGAUAUGUUCAGCGUUAGAAAAAAAUGACGGAUUUGAUUGUAGCGUGCAAGUAUUUUAUGACGACUCUGGAGUCGUGCACAAGAUAUGAAAUAUAAUUUAUAAACAGGCGAAUCGUACUUUUAUCUUUGGAUACAAGCAAAAAACAAAUUGUUCUGCGUACUAGCAUAUACGUAGGGGUCACUGGUCAGUUGUCAAGUGAAGAGCGCGGCGAAGAAUAAUAACGAGAGGCAGAACGAACCCUGACUUUUCUUUGUUGCCGGCAGUACGGCGAAUGACGAUGAUUCCUAAAAUUAAAGGUUGAAUCCUGACAGCAUAAAGCAUUCAUGCGGGCCUCCAGGCUCUAAUGUCCAAACGGGCGGUCCAAUCCCAGCUAGGCCCGCCCAACUUCAUCCCGGACCAGGCCCGACCGGCCUGAACCUUUGGGUAGGCUCCGCAGGGUGAUCGUGGGCAAAGGGAGCCACAGACUGGGAGGCGCUUUCCGGAGGUGGAAGAUUUACGUUCUUCCUAUUUGACCCGAAACCGAUCGAUCUGAUCAUGAGCCUUUAAUUUUGUUUAAGGGCUACUCGUCUUACUAAAGUACUAAAGGCUUUCACGGCUGACUCCUGCUCUCGAGAAAAGGGAAUUGAGGCUUGCGCGUGUACGGAAACGCAACGGCUUUCCCGCUCGUCCCUUGCUUCAAAACUAAAGAUUUUUUUUCCGAUCAUUCGGAAAGGUAAUUGGAGCUUCGCUCACGGGCUGCACCAACGGCCCAGGCCCGGACCCACGGGCCCAUUUCGUGCCGGACCGGGCCGGUUGGCACGGACAGCCCGGCGAGCCCAGUGCCAGCCCAGGCACGGUGGAGCAGUCGCCGGUUCGCCGCCGCCGGGAUUUGUGGAGCCGCCGGCGUCUGCUGGAGGUUGGAGCCGGGAGAGGGAAGGGCCGACGGAGGGUGCUCUUUCUCUUCCUGCGCGCCGCCGCCUCCAGCUCGACAAGCCGCCGGCCGCUGCCCCUGUGCGACCCCCGGAUUCAUCUGCAUGCUCGCCAUCGCAUUGGGGAGGUGGCGCCGGCCGCCGGAGGGAGAGGGACGGAGGGAGGUGGAGCUUGGAGAGGAGGACGGUGGGGAGCAGGCGAGCGGCUGGAGCAGGGGGGGUGGAUGGGAGGAGAGGCGAAGCUCGGAGAGAGGCACAGUGGAGCAGUCGCCGCCGCCGUGGAGGAGAGCAGUGGAGCCGGCGACGGUGGAUCCUGGAGAGGAGGGGCUCCGAGCCUCCACGCGUAGCAAGAGGGAGAGAGAAUCGUGGAGGAGGAGGCUGGCGGCGGGGAGGCGGGCAGGCCUUCAUACCGUGCCGGGCUCGUGUCGUCCGACGUGCUGGGGUGGCGGCCCACGUCCGGCACGAGCUAGCGGGCUUGGCCAGCACAGGCAUGGAAGCCACCGUGCCGAGCCGUGCUCUUGCGGGCCUAAAAACGUGCUUCAUGUUGGGCUGUCGGGCACAGGUCUUCUGGACAUCUAUAGCUCUAGUGCUAAAGAGAGGGAGGCUGCAUUGUCGUGCUGUUAUUCGUGGUGCCGUCGCCUUCGGUUCUUCAGCCACAGCCCACACAGAUCAUGAUCAGAUAUUCAGAUCCCAGCGCUAUCAAUGUUGGCUCGAGAGGACGGUAACGUACUACUCGUAGCAAGCAAUGGCCGUAGAGUGUUGCGGUCCCCCACCGUCCGAAGGCCGAAGAGUUACCACCACCGAGUCUGCCCUGCCUACGACGAAUCGAUGAUGUUUCGUUCCGCGAUGAUCUGGAAGAAGAACCUUCCAGGCCUACUCAUCGCACCCUUCUUUGUUGAUGAAUAAUGAGUGAUCGGCACGUAAUUAUUACCCAACCGUGGACAUGGACACCAAAUUAUCGGAUGGGCCAAGUGGGGCCCGCUGUGCCAAUUUGUCGGGUUCGCAUCGAACGAAUCAAGGCGCCCGGCCGACUAGGAAAUAGGAAAUCCAUCCAGCUGGCCGUUCAAAAAGAAAAUCCUGAGUCCGGGCCUCCAAAGGACACCAAAUUACCGUAUGGGCCCAGAAGGGCCCGCUGGGCCAAUCUGUCUGGCCUUAAAGACAGGGCGUGCCUGCGCCAUGCCAACCCACGAAUAGGUUUGGAUCGGAAUCUUUUUUUUAAAUGGCAAACCUUUUUUUAAAAAAAAACUAAGAAUCCAUCCAGCUGGUCGUUCAAAAAGAAAAUUAUGAGUCGGCCUAAAAAAAGGAUAAGAUCCCCCGGCGGCCAUCGUCAUUCAACGAAGAUCUAUCGUACACGAAAAUACACUUAAUUAAUCGAGCGGGUACGGCAUUCGUGCUGUCUCAUAGUAGUAGUACUAGCAUAUACUAUAUACAUGUAAACCUGCUGGAAGCUCGAUGCCGAUUAAAAUGGCGUUUGUAUUUACAAAUCGUGAUGUUUUCUUCACAACACAGAGCAUCUCCCACUGCCUACAAUGGAGUAAGCAGUGAAGCACCCAAAGCACGGCAAGGAAGAACAGCGAGAAGAAAAAACGAAGGGAAAUAGCAAAUCCAAGCUACCUGCUCGGCUACUCACGGAUCGGGAGGAGCGCCACCCCUGUUGUCCGGCCGCUCGGCUCGGAUCAGUCCGAGGGCGUCGUCAGGAGCGCGUUGCGUAAGUACUCGUCGAGCAGGCUCUCGCCCCCGCGGCGGCGGCGGCGGACGGUGGCGCGCAGGCGGGCGGCGUGCGAGAAGAGCGCGCCGUAGAAGGCGGCGCAGGCCUCGGACAGGUGGCGCGCCAGCGGCAUCCACAGGUUGAGCGGCCACAGCAGCGGCGCCGACACCUGGAACACCUGCAGGAAGCCCCUCGCCGCCACGACCCCCAGCAGGUGGAUCCCCAUCGCACACGCCGCCACGCGGAAGCUUCUGCCGCUGCCCUGUUCGUCGAUCUCAGCUAGGGGAUGAAAGGGAAGGAUGGCAACCUCGCUGUGCUCGGUGGUGUCAGUGUCACUUGCCGGGAGGGAUGGGAGGGGGAGGGGGAGGCGGGUGCGGCCUUCCCCAGUUGCGAGCGUGGACGGCCAGUUGUUGGGCUUGCCGGGCGAGAGGAGCAGACGGAGAGGGAUCGCCAAAGAUCCAGUCCAGAUAAAAAAGGGUGGCACGUUCUGGCACGCCGAGUCGCCGAUCCGACCUUGUGUGGGGUUGCCGGGUUGGACACUGGAGUAAACUGAUUACCGAUGCUUGCGGACACGGCCACACGGGCUUCCGUCGUGACCGACUGACUGACCGUGCUAUUUCUGCCGGUGGGUCCGUGAUGUUACGUUCUCUUUUCUCUUUUUUUUCCUAUUUUUUUAAAAAAAUUUGCCGGCCUUUUGAAAUUCGUAUGCCCGGGCCAGUUGUGCCGGCGCCCUGUGCCCUGCGGUACGGGCAACCUGUUCCUGAUUGAAAGCGAAGUUAUAGGAGUUCUAUUUAAGACUGGAUUUUGGUGUUGUUUAGUUGCCAAAAUUUGGAGUGUCAAAAUUAUUGUACCAGCACUGUAGCACACUGUAGCGUUUCGUUUGUAUUUGUGAAUUAUUGUCCAAACAUUGACUAAUUAGGCUCAAAAGAUUCGUCUCGCAAAGUACAACAAAACUGUGCAAUUAGUUUUUAAUUUCGUCUACAUUUAGUACUCCAUGCAUGUACUGCAAGUUUGAUGUGAUGGGAAAUCUUCUUUUUGCAUAGUGCCAAAGUUGGGAGUUGGGGGUGAACUAAACAAGGGCUUUAUAUUGGAGGCAAUCUAAAAAUACUCCAUCAAAUUCUAGGACAGUCUUUUAAAAAAAACUAAUUCUAGGACAGUCUCUCCAUCCGAUAGCUUGCAUACUUCCUCCACCUCAAAAAAAUAUGUCCUUCUGCGAUUCAAAUUUAUCUAAAAAUAAGUUGUUAUAUUUAAUUUGGUAUGUGUGCAUGUGUACGUGGACAUGCAACAGUCAAUUAGCAUAAAAUAUAGCUAAUAAAUAGGGGCAAUUGAGGUUAUUUUACCUCUUUGUUAAUUUGUCUAAUUGAGGUUAUUUUACCUCUUUGUUAAUUUGUCUAAAAUUCCUAAGAUGACGUAUUUUUUGGGAUGGAAGGGGUACAAAGUUUGAGUUGACAAUCCUCGCUCCAAAGUACUCCUACUGCCCUACUCUGGUGCACAAACUGUUCCCGAAAGCCGUUAACCUACCUGGCGAAGAACUGAAGACGUGAAGUCCGCAACUCUCAAGAACUCCUUGAUUUAUGGGCCCCUAUCUACAUGGGCUCACUGACACUAGGCUUAACAAACGCCGCAUUAUGGGCCUCAGAUUGCCUAACUGCCAUCUCUCGGAUGGACAAGUACAGCCCAACCAACAGUCCAAGGUAUUUGCGGGAAUCCUAUCCAUCUUCCGGACGGAAGAGAUAGUUGUUUAUUUAUCUUCCGCUUUAAGAUGCGCACGCAAUAUUAUAAUUAACGGGAGUAGAUGAGAGGCAUGUGCGCUUGCUGCGGGCUGCUGCUAGGAGCCUAGGAGGUGGUCUGACAUUGAUGGGACAUGCGACAGGUUGUUGCUAGUGGUCGGAGGUUUGGUUUUCAAAUUUAAAACUCACUUCUCUCUCAAACGGUGCAUUCAAUUUCAAUUCCGUUUGAAUUAUGAUGUUCCCUAUAUUUUUCUUUACAAAACGAGAUCCAACAUGACUAUUUUAAUUUGUUAUUUGAAUGUAAACAUUUUAAGUGAGCUACUUCAACAUUUACAUACCUAACUCAAUAUUUCAAAGGUACUAUUUCAAUAUGAUCAUAUAAAAUGGUGAACUAAUUCAUUCAAAAUGUUGAAUUGGAUUUUAAAAAAUGACCAUAUAAAAUGGUGAACUAAUUCAUUCAAAAUAUUGAAUUGGAUUUUAAAAAAUGUUGAGUCUAGUGUUUAAAAUGCUAAACAUUCUAUUUCAACAAUAUCAUAUAAAAUGUUGAACUAGAUGUAAAAUGUUGAAUCUAGUAUUUAAAAUGUUGAACACACUAUUUCAACAUUACCGUAUAAAAUGGUGAACUAGUUUACUACAAAUUAUGAAUUAGAUCUAAAAAUAUUGAAUCUAGUAUUUAAAAUGUUGAACAUACUAUUUCAACAUUACCGUAUAAAAUGUUGAUAUGGUUCGUUUGAAAUGUUGAACUAGACUUUAAAAAUGUUGAAUCUAGUAUUUAAAAUGUUGAACAUACUAUUUCAACAUUACCUAAAAAAUUGUUGAACCAUUUCAUUUGAAAUUUUGGACUAGAUUUUAAAAUGUUGAAUCUAGUAUUUAAAAUGUUGAAUAAAUAACUUUGCAUUUUUUUCUCUGUUCUUUUUUUAAAAAUAAAAGUGAAUAUCAAUAGUUUCAAAAACAUAACGAGGUUGAGGAAUAAUACAACGAAAAAGUUGCUAACAUGACCCCAUCCUGCAUUCAUGCUCAUGCGUCGUGCAGUGCACGGGUUCCCCAAGUGGUCAAGCACUCUACCUUCCCGCACGCCUUUGUUUUUGAUCGAGCAGACGGACGGCGCGUGCAAAAACAAACAAACAAACAAACAAACGGCAGAUUAGCUUAUGGGCUACUUUGGACUGGUUACUGUGCUAUUAAUGGAUUAUAGAUAUAAGUGCUAACUAUCUACCAGAAGGUAGAUAGGAGCCCCCAGAUAUUUAUGUCCACGGCAUCAGCGGUCCAGAGAAUUGGACAGUAACAUAUCUGCGACGCCGACGCUGCAACUGAAAACCAGGGACCCUGGUGGCCAGAUCACACAGUUUCGCAAGUACUCCUAGCAAGUAGCAACUGGCAAAAAUAUCCCCAUGGCAAAUUUCAAAGCAAGGUUGUUAAUUAUAGAAGAUGAACAUUUACUUUUAUAUUUUUGGUGAAUUUCAGCUAUAAAAUGAAUGCAGCUUCUAGUAUAGGAGACCACCAAAAUUAGGUUCUUGAGCUGCAACCAGCAAAGUUACAGGUCUGGUGUAAGCAAUAACCUCUGCAAGACAACAUCUAUUCACUUCUUACCACUUGAGCAUGCUGCCUUUCAGCCACUUGACACGUUGGAGAGGCAGAUUAGUUUGAAAGCUAAAGAAAUGGUCCUUCACGAUUCAAUUCCUCAAACUAAACCAUACACAAAAACAUCACAAUACUUGGUAGUAAUAGAAUAUAGAAGCAGAUCUUAGCUCAACACACUGUUUUAGUAACUUUACUACUAUAAAGCCUGAUACAAUUUCACAUAACAGAGCGGAGCUAAAAUUUCUAGUGCUAGCAACAGACAAGAACAUGCUGCCACUACAGAAAUCCUAAAUAUGUUACAGCAUCCGUAGCUCAAAACGAUACCAACCAGAGAGAUCAUGAUUAUAUUGCCUUCUCCUACACUAGAGUUCACCUUCAUUUUGAAUAUCCGAUCUACAUCCAUCCAGCAAGAACCUGUAGACAAGCUCCUACACUAGCACUGAUACGGUUGCUUCGAAUUAUGACAUGGACCCUAAGAGGCAACUAGGAGUUGCUGGUAAGAUCACUGUCGUUGUCGUUGUCACCAGUUGUAUCUGCUUCCUUCACCUCCUGGAUCAUCUUAAGUACUUGCCAGGCGGCAGGCCGACUUUCUGGUGAUGACCGAACACAAGCAGCGGCUAUGUCGACGAUCAUUGAGAUACGGUCACUGUCCACUCCUUCAUCUUCUCUCGCUGACUGGACGAAGGUUUGAAGAUUACUUGCGACCAAGACUGAAUGCUGUAGUGGUGGCUUUCCACUAAGGAGCUCAAGGAGGAGUACACCAAAAGCGUAUAUGUCUGAUUUUGGAGUUAGCAUUCUGUUGGACUUCAUGUUUUCUGGUGCUCUAUAAGCAGCAUCGUCUUUGACCUCUGAUGAUUCCAGGAGGAAUGACAAGCAAUUGUCUGUAAGGCAAGCCUCAAAGUCAGAACCAAGCAGAACGUUAGAAGAUUUGAUGUUUCCGUGGACAAGUCGAGAUGCUUGAUGAAUGUAAGCAAGGCCCUGUGCCACAUCUUCUGCUAUCUUCAGGCAUGAUGUCCAGUGAAGUGGUUUUGUUCGCGAUGACCUUGAACCUGCAGGUCACAAAAGUUAACUUAACUAUUAAGCACAACUGAUAAAACAUACGGUUAUACAAUUUAGCCUGCAUACAAAAAGCUUGACAUAUUGAGAUGUUUUAACUUGUGAAGACUUUUGUUUAGCUCAGCUAUAAAAAGUACUCCCUCCAUUCCAAAUUAUAAGUCAUUCCAAGAAUCUUGGAGAGUCAAAGCAUCUCAAAUUUGACCAAAAUUAUAGAGAAAAUUAUAAAGAUUUAUGACAUCAAAUAGGUAUACUAUGAAAAUAUAAUUGAUGAAGAAUCUAAUGAUACUUAGUUGACAUCAUAAAUGUUAUUAUAUUAUCAUAUAAAUUUGGUCAAACUUGAGAUACUUUGACUCUCCAACUCCAAAAUUCUUGGAAUGACUUAUAAUUUGGGAUGGAGGGAGUAUUUUGUUUAAUUAGCUGGAGCGUAAAUAGGACACUGCAUUACUAAUCAAUGAUCAUAAAGCAAAUCAACAUAAGACAUGAAUGAAGCCUUCUGUUACUCCAAUGUUCAUCUCAUCUGCAAAUUCCUAAGCACUGGCCAAUAUCAUGCCACAUCUCAACUAUUAUGAGCAUGCUACUGUUACAAAAGAUACUAAACCCAGACCUCACUACCAUAAAUACAGAUGAACUGUUAAGAGGAGCAAGUCGCUAAUUUUUUAUUCUUCAAAAAUAAAGAAAAAUACAAAGGAGAAGUCAUGAACCAUAAAUUCCACUAUGGAAGUUCAAUUGAUGUUUUUCAAGGACCACAAAAAUUUAUUAUACACCUGCCGUUUCCAAAUAGUGCUGCAUAUUUAUCAUUUCAACAUCGAGUGAAGAAGCAAUAUCAUCCAUUAUAUCUUUUGGUAAUGAAUACUAUUCACAAAAACAUUACCUGCAGGCUUCUCGUUUUUUCUAAACAAAUCAUUAGCCAGAUGACUGCUACAUGUGACCAGUAACCACUUAUGAGUUAUGAGUGCAUGUAUGCUUUGGUUACUGGGAUCACAAGGAAAAAGUCCAAGCAAUCAACCUAUCCAGCGCAUAUAUGGAUUCAAUAGGCGUCAACAUUCCGAGCCAGAUUUUCACGUGGCCAAGUCUUCUGAAUUUCAAUUAGCAUAAAGACAGUCUAGUUUGAAAAUAACCUAGACCAUGGACCAGGAUCAGGUACGCUCAUUACUGCUACGGCAACAGUAGCACCAACAUCUGCCAUCCAUGCAUCAACCAACGGAACUAUUUCCUUUAUCUAAAAAUGCAUCAACCAAUGCUCAGGAUUGUUCGCUGGCCCCACUUUACUUAUAUCCCCUCCCCAAGACCCAUCUUCUUCCUUCAUCCACUGUUUCUGCCCAUCCAUGGAGAGCGCUGCAGGUGUUUGGAUCAACAAAACCUCACGCAUGGCUGCAUGGCGCUGCAACUUGCUUGUAGCCAAUAGGUGAGGUUGUGACUCCCAUCAGGUCCGUGACUCCGUGAGACUGAAACGACGUGACAAAGUCAGCGCCUUGCUGUUUGUGGCGGUCAAGUGCAUGGCUGGAGGCACUGUGGAAAGGAGACUGCAAGGAAGGAGCGGAAGAAAGAAGAUAAUAGGAGCUGCCAUGGGGAGAAGAUCCUGCACUUGUGCGCAAACCAAAGGUGCUAACCUAGAAGGUGGAACCGUGGAACAAUAGAGUUUUAUUCAGAACUAUUAAGAGCAACUGAUAAAAUAUCUACACAUACAAUUUAUGAACUAAGUAUCCUUUGAAUGUAUAAAAAAUGUAUUGUUAUUUUAACAUGUUCUAUAACCUGUGAAGAGUUUCGUUUACCUUUGCCAAAAACAUGUAUGUUUCCAAAGCCUCACCAAUAUCAUUACAAAUUUCAAAUUAUGUUAGCAUAUUUAGCAUAUCACUGUGAGGGAAAAAAAUCUACAACAACAACAACAUAGCCUUUCAAUCCCAAGCAAGUUGGGGUAGGCUAGAGUUGAAACUCAACAAGAGCCACAAAUCAGGGUUCGGGCACAUGAAUAGCUGUUUUCCAAGCACUCCUAUCGAGGGCUAAAUCUUUGGGUAUAUUUCAUCCCUUCAAAUCUCCUUUUAUUGCCUCUUCCCAUAUCAAUUUUAGUCUUCCUCUGCCUCUCUUCACAUUACUGUCACGCCUUAGGGUUCCACUGCGCACCACUGCCUCCGGAGGUCUUCGUUUGACAUGUCCAAACCAUCUCAACCUGUGUUGGAUAAGCUUUUUCUUCGAUUGGUGCUACCCUAACCUAUCACGUAUAUCCUCAUUCCAGACUCAAUCCCUUCUCGUAUGACCACAAAUCCAACGCAACAUACACGUUUUCGCAACACUUAUCUGCUGGACAUGUCUUCUUUUUGUAGGCCAACAUUCUGCACCAUACAACAUUGCAGGUUUAAUCGCCGUCCUAUAAAACUUGCCUUUUAGCUUCAUGGUACCCUCUUGUCAUAUAAAAUUCCUGAUACUUGGCGCCACUUCAUCCACCCCACUUUGAUUCUAUGACUAACAUCCUCAUCAAUAUCCCCAUCUCAUUGUAGCAUUGAUCCCAAAUAUCGAAAUGUAUCCUUCCUGGGCACUACUUGGCUUUCCAAACUAACAUCUCCCUCCUCAUGUGUAGUAGUGCCAAAGUCACAUCUCAUAUAUUCAGUUUUAGGAGGUGUUUGGAUCUAUGGACUAAUUUUUAGUUCGGGUCACAUCGGAUGUUUGGAUACCAAUUAGGAGGACUAAACAUGAACUAAUUAUAAAACUAAUUGCAUAAACGUGGGCUAAUUCGCGAGAUGAAUCUAUUAAGCCUAAUUAAUCCAUAAUUAGCACAUGAAACUGUAGCAUCACAUGGGCUAAUCAUGGACUAAUUAGGCUUCAUAGAUUCGUCUCGCGAAUUAGCCCUCAUUUAUGCAAUUAGUUUUAUCAUAGACUAUAUUUAAUACUCCUAAUUAGUGUGCAAACAUCCGAUGUGACAGGGACUAAAGUUUAGUCCGAGGUAUCCAAACACCCGCUUAGUUCUGCUCAGUCUAAAACGUUUUGACUCUAGGGUCUCCCGCCACAACUCCAGUUUCCUAUUUACUCCUGCUCAACUUUCAUCAACUAGCACUACAUACGCGAAGAGCAUACACCAAGGGAUAUCCCCUUGAAUGUCCCUUGUUACCUCAUCCAUCACCAAGGCAAAUAGAUAAGGGCUCAAAGCAGACCCCUGAUGCAAUUCUAUUCCAAUUAGAAAGUCAUCUGUGUCGCCAUCACUUGUUCGGACUCUAGUUACAACAUUGUUGUACAUGUCCUUAAUAAGUCCAACGUACUUCGUUGGGACUUUAUGUUUGUCCAAAGCUCACCACAUAACAUUCCUUGGUACUUUAUCAUACGCCUUCUCCAAGUCAAUGAAAACAAUGUGUAGGUCCUUCUUCUUCUCCCUAUACCGCUCUAUAACUUGUCUUACUAAGAAAAUAGUUUCCAUGUUUGACCUUCCAGGCAUGAAACCAAAUUGGUUCAUAGAGACCCGUGUUAUCCUUCUCAAACGAUGCUCGAUAACUCUCUCUCAUAGCUUCAUAGUAUGGCUCAUCAACUUAAUUCCUCGGUAAUUAGUACAACUUUGAAUAUCUCCCUCAUUCUUGUAUAUUGGUACCAGUAUACUUCUCCACUCUUCCGGCAUCUUGUUCGACCGAAAAAUAUGGUUGAACAACUUGGUUAGCCAUACUAUGGCUAUAUCCUGGCUAUAUCCCCGAGGCAUCUCCACACCUUAAUUGGGAUACCAUCCGGACCCAUCGCCUUACCACUUUUCAUCCUUUUCAAUGCCUCUCUGAUCUCGGAUUCUUGUAUCUUCUGCACAAAGUGCGUGUUGGUGUCAUCAAAAGAGUCCUCCAACUGCAAGGUUGUGUUCUCAUUCUCACCAUUGAACAAUUUGUCACAAUACUCUUGCCAAUCUUAGGUUUCAUCUCCAUUAGAAUGGCUAGGUUUAACAUAGGCGGGAAAAAAACUACAAGGCCGCUAAUUGUAGAUGCAAUAUAAGCAGAGCUAGUCCCCCAAAUAUCUGGUUCAUAAAAAGAAAACGUGGAAGUCCUGAAGUAUGCACUUCCCAAAAGCAAGUCUAGUGUAGAGGUUGAACUGGCAUUUUUCACUGCCCACUAAAUCCAUCAUACCUUGCUGGACUACUUCCCAAUAGUCUUGCAUAAUCAAAAUAAUGUGUUUAAGCAAUAUCAUACCAUUGGCAGUGAUUACUAGUCAGCAAAACAUUAUAUGCAAUGCAAGUAUGCAACCAUGCUCCUUGUUUUUCUUCCAUGAAGCUAAAAAGGUGACCAGCGGCCACUUAUGAGUGCCUGUAUGCUUUGUUUAAUGGGUUCUCAGAGAAGAGAGCCCACUGGUGGCGUCCACAUUCUGCUGCCAUGUUUUCACGUGGCCAAGUCCGCUGAAUUUCAAUUCGUGGCCAUGGGAUGAAGAAUGUCUACUUUGAAAAGGUAAAGCUAGCCUAGGUCACUAAUAAUCUACUGUAGUAGUACUAGAUGUAAAGGUGAACACUAGAAUUGUUCCAAGCACCAAUCAGUUUAGUCUGUCCAACACACCUAACAGCUGAUUAGAUACUCUAUUAACAAGUUCCAGCAUUCAGAUCCUAAGAGAAGAGCACGGAACGUACCAUGGAUGAGAGAGUAGAGGCUGCCAUUAGGUUGGUAGUCGUACACGAGCAGCCGCUCCUCCUUAGCCUGGAAGAAUGCCCGGAGCGGCACAAGGUUCGGAUGCCGCAACCGGCCAACUGCAUCCAUGUUCUGCUCGAACGCCUCUGCUUCCAGCGCAGCCGGGCCAAUCUUGGCCGCGUCCAGCCUCUUCACAAUCACGACAAGCCGGCCGUCGAGCACCGCCUUGUACGUCGUCCCGACGCUCCCGCGGCCGAGCACCUCUGCCGAAGCGCGCAUCAGCUGUUCGAGGCUGUAGCUCGCCGCCUCGCCAGCGCAGAAUGUUAGGCAACCGCUCCGCUCCAGCCUCCGCGCCUUCUCCUCCGGCACCAUAAUCGCCGCUGUCUCCUCAUCAGGAACGCACUCCACGUAUCCCAUGUCAGCAUUGUCCCUGCUCACCUCCGAGGCGGGCGCGCUCUUCUUGGGGUUGGGGCUUGCGUACGUUGCGGAGCUCGGGCGCCUCCUCCCGUUGCUCCUCUUCAUCGCAAUCAUGGCGCAAAGGAGAAGCGCGGCCAGGACCGUGCCCACGGCAACUGCGACAGCCAACGUGGUCCUCCUCCUCACUUUCUUCGCGUGCGGCGCGGACGAAUCCGGCAUGCUCAAGCUCUCCCGCUGCGGGCCACUGUCGCUCGCGGCAGCGCUCUGAACAGGGGGAGCGGCGGUGCCGUUGUUGCCGCCUCCGUGGAAGAAGAGGAGGUGCGAGCCGCGGCACUCGCGGCGGACCACCUCGCCGCAGAGCUCGGGGUUGCCCGCGAACGCGGCGGCGCCCACCUGCGUCAAGACGGGCGUGACCGGCACCGGCCCCGAGAAGUUGUUGUAGGAGACGUUGAGCACCUUGAGCGAGGACUGGUUCCACGCCGGGAGGGAGCCGUUGAAGUGGUUGGCGUCGAGGCGGAGGAAGGUGAGGUGCGGGAACGCGGCCUCAAUGCCGGGCGGGAGCUCGCCGGAGAGCCUGUUCCCGGAGAGGUCGAUGGAGCGGAGCCGCCGAAGAGUCGCGAGCGAGGCCGGGAACGGGCCCGAGAAGCGGUUCCCCGCGAGGUAGAGCGCCUUGAGGUUGGCGAGCGGGGAGAGGUCGGGGACAGGGCCGUGGAGCGCGUUGGACUUGAGGCUGAGCACGCGGAGCUCCGCGAGGCCCGAGAGCGUGUCCGGCGGGAACGUCCCGUUGAGCCCCACGGACUCGAGGACGAGGCGGAUGAUCUGGCCGGACGCGGUGCAGGUGAUCCCGGGGCGGGAGCACGGGGAUGCCGCCGGGGGCACGCGAAGGUGGGAGGACGGGUCGGCCUUGGCGAGGAAGGCGGCGAGGAGCGCGGCCGGGUCCGGCGGGCUCGACGCCAGCGCCGCGGAGGGGGCCACUGCUCGGACCGGGGACGGCCGCGUCGGCUGCGAGUGCGACGCGGCGCCGGGUGCCGGCGGCUUCGAGGCCGGCGCCGUGGGCGGGGCCGCCGCGGCUUGUACCGGGGACGGAAGCGUCGGCUGCGAGUGAGAUGCGGCGCCGCCGGGGGCCACCACCCCAGCCGCGGAUGCGGCGGUGGUGACGAGGAGCAGGAGGAGGAUGGUGAGCGGGAUGCGGGGGCGGUGGUGCGGCAUUGCGGCGCGGUGGGUGUGUACGGGGGGUUUUGGGGUUAGGGAGAGGUGGUGGAUUUCAGUGGAGCGGCGGCAUGUAACUCGAGGGUGGUGGUGGUGGUGCGGUGGAGUGGGAGUGGCUGCCGUCUGCGGUCUGCCGAUGCCGAGGGGAGGACGAGGAGGAGAUGGGCUGGGCUCCGAGUCGGGACGGAGAGGGGUCAGAGGGUGGUCGCGGCGGCACGUGGGUGGUACGUGGAGUUUAGCGUUGCUUUUUUCCCCCGGUUAUUAUAGGCGUACGGGGAAACUCAUUAGCGGGGACAGGAAUGCAAGCACGCAGCUAGCAGUUUUAAACGCAGAUCACGGAGAGAGACACUAGUCGCACUGGCACUCGCACACGCUACAAGUACAAGCCUGCUACCACAAUUUGGAUGGCCAACGACUUUGAAAGCAAAAUGCAGAUCAAGCAAAGUGCACAACCACAACCACAAUGGACCGUCUCCUUGUUUCGUUCAGUGGCUACGAAGUGACAUACGUAUCUCUCUAUAUGUCUUUGAUUUUUUGCAAAUAAUUCGAACCAUUUUGUGCUCGUAUAGUCGUACGUAUGAAAACACGGAUGAAAGAUACGGAUUUGCACGGGGAAUGUUUGAAAAGGAGCCGUUGCACGGUAGAAGGACGCAUGGGAGCGAUGUACCUACCUCUUUUUUAAGACUGACCGUACGCCCAAAUGAAUGCAAAUUUUUACUGUGGCUGUCAGGCAGGGCCCCCGGGGUGCAGUAGCAACGGGGACGGUGGGCCCCAGCGAUAUUCAAUCAGGAUGCGGGCCCGCGUGACUGCUGCCGGUCGUGGUAAAUCAUCUGGAUGCUUUUGUCGGCAGACGGGAAAUGUUUCCCUUCCGACUCCUCCGGGUCCGAGCUGGCGUGGUAAAAUGAGUCGUCGUCGCCGGAGGCCGGAGGAGGCUGGCCUCUGGCUGGGCUGCACGUUCUCCCCUAAGGCCCAAAAAUGGCGCAACGAGAAGAGGUUCAUCCCGCAGGCCCGAUCCACAGCAUUUUGUACCACUGCCAUUGUCACCUUUUUUUUUUCUUUGCGAAUGCACUGCCAUUGUCACUAGUCCAGUACCCCGUCGUUUCGUCCCCAAAGCUUUCCCUUCCGUCCUUGUGAACCCGGUGAAGCAAAUCAAAGCAAAUCGUACUACACUCCUAGGUAUAUCACGUACGAAGCUACUAUACGCCGGUGCACGUCCCUGCUCCCGGAGGUGGAGCCUGCAAAUUCAUGGCGCCCGUCUACCCCGAGCGUCCUGCAACAGGGACGAAUGGACGAUGACGGUGCGCGGCCGUGAACUCUGAACUGUAAAGGCAGGGAGGUAUCCAUGGAAAGAGGCGCGGCCUCACGUGCGCGGCCAGGAUUGCUCACGGUGGGCGCAGCUCCUCCGAGGACACAAAUUGUUCUGUCUGCUAUUCUUAUUUUUUUUUGAAAAGAAGUUCUGGCUGCCAUUCCACAUUUCUACCUGUGCCCAAGUGGUCAGUGACAUCAGUGUUGGUGCAGGAGUCAUGGAGCGAGCAGGGUUCCACAGAGUAGAACAGACUACAGAGUGAAAAUUUGGCCCCAUCUCGUCAGUCUUGGGCCCUACGUUUCUGUCGCGCUGUCUGAUGAUUCGAAAUUCUUUUUUUUAACUUAAUGAUUCGAAAUUCAAAAACCUUCGAUGUGCAUCAUAUCCUAUAUGCACAUUUCCCCGAAGAAACAGAACAGAAUCAUUCAGCAAAUUAAAAGGUCGUUCAAGACGGAAGCUAGACAGUGGGCACCGUACCAAAUGCUACCAAACUUCACAUGUCAAGGCCAUCAUCAUACUCCGGCGUCAAAGACUAGUUUUGUACUCUGACGCUGUGACAUCUCUGAAGAUUCAUGCUACGGUUGUUUUGGCGCCUUCGGACAUCACUGCCGCGGUUUUUGGCCUUGUUUAGUCGCCAAAGUUUGGAGGUGCCAAAUUACUGUUACAGCACUGUAGCACACUGUAGCGUUUCGUUUGUAUUUGUGAAUUAUUGUCCAAACAUUAACUAAUUAGGCUCAAAAGAUUCGUCUCGCAAAGUACAACAAAAUUGUGCAAUUAGUUUUUAAUUUUGUCUACAUUUAGUACUCCAUGCAUGUACCGCAAGUUUGAUGUGAUGAGGAAUCUUCUUUUUGCAUAGUACCAAAGUUGGGAGUUAGGGGUGAACUAAACAAGGACUUUCUCUCUGCCGAUGAAUGAUGCGCUUGGCGCCUUGUUUCGCGCUUGAUGAUGUCCAGGACAGAGCCGUUGAUGUUAUUCUGCCUCUUUGUUCUCGUAGUUUCAGCUCUCAAAUGGAGCUCCAUGCAUCUGACCACUGCUACUGCCACUGCUGUUGAUCGGUUCGUGUCAUCGGGCGAUUUGGUGCUGAUUUUCCCCCGGACAGUUCCAUUCCACGCAGAAACGACUAAACAUUCUCGGGUCAAAAAUUAAACCAGAGAGCAGCUGGAAAGAAAUGAAAGCGAUGAUCCAACCGAAAUUCAUGAUAACUCUCAUUCCCCCGCUUUCCCCGUCAUCAGUUGCUUAAUUGUGUGGCAAACAUGUGCUUCAACUCCUAGACCUGCUAGACCUCGUCGACCUUAGGCUUAGAGAAGUCCUCUCUAUUCUAAUGCAUGUGAUGGAACAGUGCUGCCUGAAUCCAGAUGUGAUUGAGCACCUGCUCUUGCUGCUUGUGCUUGACGGCAGAUGUGGCUUCCUGUUGGCUGCUGGUGUUGCGUGCAAAAGCAGAAGAAUUGCGUGCGCGUAAAAACCCGAGCUGAGCGGCCCAGUUAGUAAAGCAUACAGGAGGCCCCGAUAAGUGAAGGCAGGCAACUUCAGGGCUUAUUGGGCUUACGGACCCAACUUCAGGUGAACGCAGCCCGUCGUCGUCUUCGAGGAAACUGCUACUAACACAUGAUACAGUCAUACAUUCCUGUCCCCCCCCCCCCCCCCCCCCCCCCCCAAAAAAAAAAAAAACACGGUGCAUGAUUUUGAAACCAGCUCAAGAGCAAUUUCGAAUGAAUUCGAAUUCCAAAGGAAAUAUAGAGUUGUGGGAAGUGUUGGCAAAUUUACCUACAGGAUUUGAGGCAUAUUGCCGAAGCUAAAUGUUCGCUGUCACAACUCCUUAGCUAUAUGUACUAUAUGUUGUACACAUGUUCUGUAACCAAAAUCGUAACAUUUAUCGUUUCAAUUUUGUUAAUGAUAUUUCCAUGGCAGCUUUCGCCUAAAGCUAGUUAUGACAAAGUAAUGGAUCAGCCAAACAAGCCCGCGUAUGGCAAGUAUGAGAACGUCAUUAGCUAAGAUUAAGAAAUAUCUGGACAGUUGACACCUGACACCACUAGUCACUGGACCAGGCGCACCGCCUAUCGUCGCGGAGUCGGCAGUCCCCGUUGGGCCACAGGCUGACUUGCGUGUCGUGUCCAGUGUCGUCCCCCGUGCCAUACCACCGCCAUUCCAUACGUCUACACGCUAAGCUACAGGACCACUCACGAGGUCACGCAUCCAUACGAUGGCCAAGGAUGGUAAGUACCAAGUCGCAACCGCCAAAAGCCGAAGCCCUUCGAUUUUGAUCCCGUCCCGUCCGCACCAACAACGUGCCGCGGCCUGACGCGGCAGAUGAUUUUUGAGCCAACAAACCACGCUAGGACCCGGGCAAAACCAGCUAAUCAGCCACACUGACAGGAGGCUUCCUACCCCCCCUUAAUCCAGCUGACCAGCUACCCAGCUGGGACAGAGUCCCCGACGACUUUCCCCUCCCUUCUCCGGUUCUCCCUCCUCCCUGCUCGAUCGAUUCCUUCCUCGCCAGGUCCAAGCUCCAACCGCAUCUGUUCCCGCGGGAUCGAUUCGCCGUGAACUCGAGCACGCGAGCCGGGACACCGCCGGGAUGAAGUCUAUGGGCAGCCGCGACAAGCUCUCGGCGGUGUCCGCGGCGUCGGGCCACCGCCGCGCCCUCUUCGCCGUCUUCGCCUUCUGCUUCGCCUUCGCCACCUUCCUCACCUUCCUCUACACCACCUCCCACUUCACCUCCGCGGCCGCCUCCGCUUCCGCCGCCGCGGGGGGCAGCGACGCCAGCUUAGCACUAGCAGCAGGGUCCGGCUCCGGGUCCGACAACAAGCUGCCGCUCCCGGUGUUCGACGCCCUGGUCCACUACGCCUCCAUCUCCAACGCGACGCACCGCAUGCCCGACACGGACAUCCGCGCCAUCGCCGCGGUGGUCCGCGCGCGGGCGCCCUGCAACCUCCUGGUCUUCGGCCUGGGCGCCGAGUCCCCACUGUGGCUGGCGCUCAACCACGGCGGGCGCACGGUGUUCCUGGAGGAGAACGAGUUCUACGUCAAGUACCUGGAGCCCAAGCACCCGGGGCUGGAAGCCUACGACGUGUCCUACACCACCAAGGUGCGCGACUUCCGGGACCUGCUGGCGGCGGCGCGGGCGUCCCGGGCCAAGGAGUGCCGCCCCGUCCAGAACCUCCUCUUCUCCGAGUGCCGCCUCGCCAUCAACGACCUGCCCAACGACCUCUACGACGUGGCAUGGGACAUGGUGCUCAUCGACGGGCCGUCCGGGUGGAACCCCAACUCGCCGGGGAGGAUGCCGUCCAUCUUCACCACCGCCGUGCUGGCCCGCUCCGGCGCAACGGCGGCCAAGGGCCCCACGGACGUGCUGGUGCACGACUUCCAGUUCGAGGUGGAGCAGGUGCUCAGCAAGGAGUUCCUCUGCGACGAGAACCGCGUCGCCGGCAGCGGCACCCCGUCGCUCGGCCACUUCGUCAUCCCCGGGGGCGGCGGCCGGAGCGACGCCUUCUGCUCCGAGUCCGCCCAGGGGGAGAGCUCGUCGGAAUCGGGAGACAACAACCGCCGCAAGUGAAUUAGCCAAUCUUGCCACGGAAUCGUUAGCCUCCUCUCCUCUCCUCAGCUGUUACUUAAUUUUUCAAUUUUUUUCUUGCAUAUAUGUGUUUGUUGUUUUGUGGGGCGAUAAUUGUAACAAAAAAAACCCAGAUAAUACGAUUGCCUCCAUCACAAAAAAAAGAGAUAAGUGACAAUGAAAAGAAAAUAGGAGCUUUACACAUCACGGUUCCCAUUACACUGACGGAGAAAAAGAUGUGAUAAUGCAAUUGCAAGUCUGAUCAGUGAGUACGAACAAUUCGGUAGCUGGUGGGAGUGGGGAGAUGGCAAUUGGCGAGCACCGAGCAGGAUGAACGAGCGAGCGGUGUGGUGGUUGGAUCUCAAGUCCCGUCCAGUGGCUCUUCUUUUUCCCAUCUCGUCCCGCUCGGUUGCGUGCUUUGCCUGACGAUGCCAGGCGGUAAAGCAGAUCGGGGGUCGGGGCUCGCUGAUCUGAUGCGCAUGUGUUGGUUCGUCAGUUUUCGAAUCAGCGUCAGUGACUAGUGAGUGAGUCACCAGAUCCCGCCAGGCGCUGCCGCGCCGAAAUGAGAUCAGCCGAUGCGCGCUUGUACCCGUGCGCUGUGCUCCGGCGUUUCGUUCAAAAAGUUUUAAAAAGUUGGCCGUCUUUUGGCGCAACGUCUGGUGACCCCGACCGGCGACCGCCCAACAACUCGUGCUCAUCUCGUCUCGUCUGCCCCGAAUGGGGAACCUGUGUGGCUGUCAAGCGGCAACGAGCGGACCGUUCGCUUUGGAAGAAGCUUGUGCAGUUUGGGAAGAAGGGUUUUGCGGCUUGCUCCUCUGCCUUCUCAUUUCUCAACCUGCUUGCUCUAUCUCGAAUUGACCAAGCAAAGCAAAGCAUCGUGCAUCGCUGCAAACCGUGGCCGGACAUGUCGACCGCGUAAGCAAUAGCACGAGCACACGGCAGAAUCUGACCGCGGGUUGCGACUCCUGUGUAUGGACUCGGCGGAAGGCUGCGCCAGAAUCUGCCAGCCCAAAGCCGCCGGCGGUCUGGAUGGAGACAGAGACCGGGCACCGCGCGCGGGGGCGGGGCCCGGACGACGGGCGAAAUUGGCAUCGCACGUUAACGACCGGGCCUUUUCCUAUCAGAAAACGGGGGGCCUUUUCGAGCUCUGAUGACGACUGAUUGACCACGUUGUGCGCUCCUGCAUUAUCAUCCCGUCACCAAAUGGCAAUGGAUGUUCGUCGUCAGAUCAGAUGUGCUGCUGGCCAGCUGCUGCUUUGUCUCCAAUGGUUUGUGUUGUGGCUAGGAGCUAGGGCUGGGCUUCUCCUACCCUAGUAGUAGAAUCGAACAACUCGUAGGACAAUAUAUGUAAACUGGAUUUGGGUGAGUAGGAACGAGCGACGAUUACAGGCUGCCCCACCCGCCACCGGUUUGGUGGCUUUUUUGGGCAAUCCCGGUGACAUGCCAACCACCCCACUCCCAACGCCUAACAUGAACAGUUUUCUAGUUACUCCUGGAUUAACAAGUGCAAUUUCAGAAUGCCAGUUAGUGACAGAGGUCACCGGCCUAUAAGAACAGAGUUUUGAUGCCGAAAUUCUUACAAAAAGAAUGUACUAUCCUUAUCCUCUGAAGUAAAAUACGGAAAUGGUUGCGAUCCGACGUGACUUUCGCAUACCUGAGACUGUUUCAAAUUUGCUACGAGGUACCUGUCAAUACAGUUGGUCGACCUUUUUCUUUACGAGAGGAAAUUGAGUUGGUCAUGAUUGAUGGCAAACAAGUGAACGUAAUGUAUGAUCUUACUCUUAAGAAUUUUUUUAACGAACCGUGAUUUAGUAGAAAAAAAUUACAAAACUUCAGUCUUAGGAGGCCAUAGGUAGAAAAAGAAUAGAAAGGAAAAAAAACAACUCGACUCGUCCGGUUGGAUUGGGAUGUCAACGUGGGUAACCGCUCAACUCAAAACCGCUAAACCCGACCUGUCGGAUUGGGACAUCAACGCGGUCGCACCACUUCACUCAAUCGGUGACAGCAGAGCCCACUACACCACUCGACUCGCAGCGUCGCAGAGCCGAAGCCUUUUAUCGUGGCACCCCCUGACAGUCUCACGUUCAUGUAGUUGCCGAACCUUCAGGCGUGACUCCGCGUCGACAGGGAACCAAGAGAAAUAGACCGCACCACACCAAGAAGGCCACCGCCAUGUCGAACCCAUCACCAUAGUGCUGCUACAACACCACACUCCAUCCUGAUAGAGUGUUACCACCAGAUCCGGACCUUUCGUAGGCUGCCUCGUAGUCGCCACUACGAAAACGUAACGCACAGGGCCUCGUCACAUCCGCUGUUGGCCUCCACCUCUCUCGUUGCCUCGAAGAAACAUCGCGCGCGCGGGGCCUUGCCAUGUCCGCAACAUUACUCCAUGUCACAGAUCCGUUUCUUAAGUCAUCGUCAGAAUGGUGAGCAAUAUUGUCCCGCUUCCCAAGGUCUCCAUCAAACAGCCAAGCCGCCGCCGCAAGUUGACUUAGCCUCGUUGGUCAACCCGCGCACAUAGCUUUCGCCGUCGUGCCAAGUCGCUUGCGUCAUUUUUCGAUGAUGUACCGUAGCGGAGUAGCCCAGCAAAGCUGAGCAACCCGCCGCAGUCUGUUGCAAGCCUAAUUAUCCCACGAUAUCGUUGCUGCAAGCGCUGUUUUCCGACACAGUCCCACACCGCACUAAUAGCUGCCCAGCAACGCCAGCCGCCAAGGUCCGCAGCAAGCAACCAACCCGACAAACAUGUGGCAACCUCUGGCCGCCACCACAACUACGAUCGCCUCCACGUGAGCUCGGCAAUCCCCACCAAGCUUGCCAUCCUACACCAUACCACCUUGUCGUGCCACAAGCUCGUCGCCACGAGACCGCCGCCACCAGCGGCAACCUCCUAUGACCACUAGCGUCACCAAUAUUGCCACAAGUUGAGUUGGGUCUCCAGAAACAAAGCUUCCAAGGAGGGAACGACGACGGCGUCGCCGUCGCUCGUCCAGAAUUUGGACAGAGUUUUCGCCUAAAGAACCCCGUGCAGCAAGGAUAGAGCUCCAACAUGACAUCCCCAAUGGGAAGAACGACGCCCUAGGGCGCCGCCGCCAUUGGCACCAGCAAGGUCACCGACAAAGGCUUUCGCUCGGAGCACCCCAUCCCAAACCGCUGCAUGCACACAGCCCAGCACUACCAAGACCACAGCCAUGGAAGUCCUUCGGAGGCGGCGCCGCCGCUGUCCCUCCUCAUCCGCUGCCAUUGCACACCCACCCUCGGCACUCUUAUAGAGAUAAACAAACACUCCAAUUUAGAGAGGUUAUGGUGUCAUUGCAAGGAUUAAUCUUGUGCUCGAUUUGUGCGGAUAUCUUACCACCAUGUGUUUACUGCAUUCAGCUUGUCAGUCCCUAUCAAGUUGGCUCGCUCCCGUUGGGUACAGGUAUUGAACGAAAUUUUCGAUUUUAUUGGUCAGGAGACACCACAGCUUGACCUCUUGUGCAUUAAAAUCGUACUGCCACGACACGUAUCCUAUUGAAUGGAGCUAAAUCCGUCGUACUUGUAUGUUUCUUUCUUGAUUUUGGCGAGAGGGAAAUCGUUCAUGAUGUAUGAAUCCGUAUACCACAUACCAAAAAUGCAGAAGAGUUUCCAAUAACAAAUUAUUCGGACUACUAGUUCACUGUAAAUAAUAUAUGUGAACUUUGUUUCUUUUCCUCAUCAAAGAAAAUAGAAGAAGUGUUUGGAAUAACAAAUUAUGGGGUAGGAGUUUUUAAUUUCUGAUGCUUCGGUUGGUCAACGAGUCGUGAUCAUCAGUUGGACAGGGACUAUGAUAAGAUAAGCGCAUGUGUUUUGUCAGUGAGUUCAUGAAAACAGCACAUGAUUCUUUUGAGCUGUAUUUUAAUCGAGUCCCAUCUGUACCAACCUUAUACGUACUCUAAAUUAUAGGUACAGCCACCAAAGGAAAUACCUGGGAAUAGUUGGGGAAGCUUCAGUAGUUUGGUGUCGACCGACUGAAACUCAGGUCCGUUUGCUUCCGCUGACUUAUUUUUAGCACCCGUCACAUCGAAUGUUUAGAUACUAAUUAGAAGUAUUAAACGUAGACUAUUUACAAAACCCAUUACAUAAGUUGAGGCUAAACGGCGAGACGAAUCUAUUAAGCCUAAUUAGUCCAUGAUUUGACAAUGUGUUGCUACAGUAAACAUUUGCUAAUGAUGGAUUAAUUAGGCUUAAUUAGGCUUAAUAGAUUCGUCUCGCCGUUUAGCCUCCACUUAUGUAAUGAGUUUUGUAAAUAGUCUACGUUUAAUACUCCUAAUUAGUAUCUAAACAUUCGAUGUGACACGUGCUAAAAAUAAGUCACCGGAAGCAAACGCCUCCUCAAUGCGACGCCGACGACAGACAGCUCCACCAUUUUGGAUCGUGGAAACCGCAACACGCUACCAGAAGUCCAGAACGCCGACCCUGUCCUCACGCCCACGACCACCACCUGAUGGCCGUGCUCGCCAAUGAGCCGGCGGCGUCCGUGGCCACAUCGUCAGCCAGGUCGUGGAAGUGGAUCCUCAGGUGGUAUGGUGAAAAUCGCAAGCACGCAUUUCGAUCGAUCAAUUGCAUCUAUGUUCGUCUCCCGGGCUCCCCGAUCGGUUGAGAUACUGAAUUUUGCGUGAAGGGUGUGACCAAGGGCGUGGCGGUGGAGGCCCUGCUCGCCGCCAUGGCGCGCCUUGUGGAGGCGGCGGACCUCGCACGCGCAGCCGCUUAUCUCCGACCGGCUCGCCGCCUCAGCCUGCGGCGGUGAUCUCUUGCCAGUCUACUCUCACUAUGUAAUGCUACCUGGACGGAGUAACGGGAAGGCAAGCGCCGGCCGGCUCGCCAGAUCUCGACGCCGCGACACGGCGAGGGGCCGCCGCGGGGCCUUCUGGUCUGGGGAAUUUUAGGCCCGUGCUUCGCUCGCGAGGGUCGCCGGAGGCAGCGGCCGGGAGCGCAAACUUGGCGGAAGCUCGCAGUGGUGCAGCGCGAAGGGGCGGGCGGUGGUCGCUGGCGGCAAGGCGACCUCGCCGGCUCCCAUGGCGCCGGCCUGAAAUGUUAUUGGAUCGCGAUCAUUAAUCUCAAUCCAAAUAUCUACAAAAGAACCCAAUUUAUUUACAUAUAGACCCCUAAUUGGGAUCUAGAUUAUUAAUCACGAUUAUUUUCAAAAUACUCCCUUGAUUUGGAUCGGGCUUAUUAAUAGCGAUCCGAAUAUAUGCAAAAUGCCCCCCGUUCAGUUCUUGCCACCAUCUUGCCUUGCGUGGGGAGCGGGGUCUGUGCUGUGCAUCGCUGGGUGCGACAUGUCGCCGCGCGUGGAGACGAGGAGGGAGGCAGCUCUCUCCUGAAGGAAAAACAAGGAGAGCCCCACUCUUCCCCUCCCCGCCUGCGGUGGCGCCAAGUCGAUUUCUUUCCCUCGCGGCCUCUUAAGCUGUUGCGGGUUUGAAUCGAAACCGAGAGCACGCGCGGAAUAGAGAGAUGUAGAUAGAGACGGAGGGUGGGACAUGUAGAUUAGACGAGAGGAGAUAUGGGUACUAAAGGACACGAACUUUCACGCACAAAGAUAGUAUGGGGAACAGAGGUCAGCCGCCCGCCCGCCUGCCUCACAGAGAUACCAGGUGUCAUGGGGAUGCUGUCGCUAAAUCAUCUAAUGCUCAAGCAGGUGUGGAGGCGUCGUCGGCACAUCCAAGUUCGCAGUAAGUCGCCUCUCACCGUUCCCCCUCUUUGGCCUCCCCGUUAUUCAUCUCUGCUACAUUAUUAUAUGGUCAAUAUUUUGCUGAAAAGAUUAUGGUCAUUGUAGAUUUUCUCUUGAAUUAAAACAUCUUUUAAUCCUAUAAGUUUCAAUUUUCCAAAAGCCAGAUAACAGAAACAAAUUGGAUUGUUGUGUGCACAAUUUGUAUGCUUGAGUUGGUUUUUUCCUUCGGUUAAUAUAAGUAAUAUUCAGUACCAUGUAGGAUGUGUUGCAGGUGGGUCGAUUACUAAUGGUCAUUCUCAGGCUGGUGAAAGAUCGACGUAUUCAGGACCACAUCUUCCUGAGGUACGGCAUAAAAUGCUGAUGAUGGAAAGCUUAGAUGAGAAGUAAAGAUUAUUUGACAACUAUACUUAACUCCUCUAAUUGAUGGGCCUAUUCUAGCUACAUAAAAAAAUUGUGAACAGAUCUUGUACUAUUUAUUCAUUGUUACCGUGACAGUAAAGGCUAAGCUCUAGCUUUUCCUCAGUACCGAUACUUGUUUAGUUACAUUGCAACCAUUACAGAAGAUUUUAUUUAAAAUGCAGUAAUACACAGCCGUAACAAAGUUGGGCUCCCCCCUUAGAAAAGAUGGAAACGUAUAACCAAAUAUCAUUUUUCUGCGAGAAGAUUGUGAUUACUUUUUGAAAGCUGGCUCGAAAGCAUUUUGACAGUCCUUUUUAUAUGGUAUUACCUAAAGAAGAUGGUCAAGGAGUUAACUGAAUUGCCGAUCUCAUGUUUUCCGGUGAUACCUUCCACUUGUUCCUUGUAGCAGAAAAUAGGUCUAGCCAUGAACAAACCAAGAAUUUCUACUUGAACUAAUGAACUGAACAGAUUUUUCCAAAGACUUGGUUAUCCUUUUUAAGUCAAGUUGUCCCAAUGAAAGCAAAAUGAUUAGCAUGUAACAUUGCCUUUUCCCUGUUUGUUUUCUCCAGAUUAUAAGUAGCCAUUUAUAAGAUUGCAUCAAUCUUCAAUUUAUUGCAGCCACAUAGUGUAUGAGAACACUAGUGGUGCGGCUGUUUUAGAAUAUUUCCUGUGCCAUAUAUUCGUGUACUCGAUUAGCCCAAAGUACCUUCUUGCCUUUUGACCACUAUGCCUGCGGGACCUUGCCUGAAAAUGUAAAUGCUGGACAAUGGAUCUGUUAUAAAACUGUCACCAACUAGCAAUAUGGUUGUAUGUGUAUUCGUACUUUGAAGAAAAGUGGAAGUGGUCACUGAAAGCUUUAGCAUAAGUGAGGGAUACUUUCACAUGUUGUCCUGUAACCAAAUUUCCGCGAACCCCUCCCAUGCUGAUGCAAAAAUGUUCGGCGGCGGCCCAGAACCACGAGAUGACGAGGAGAUGCGGGAGCUCGACUUCUCCAAUCCCCAUGGGCGGCUCUCUGAGAAUGUGGUGGCAGUGGCGGCGACACGACAACAAGGUGCACGACCUCCGAAUCCUCGCAUGCCCCGUCCUCAUCGCCGGUGGAGCCACCUCCGCCAAUCGCAGCUCGCUGACCGGUCCCUCGCCGGGGAAGAAGCUACGCGGGGCUUUUCCACUGCCGCCUGACCUACUUCGAGAUUAGAAGCGGCGGCAGCGGCUGCCCGCCAUAUUGCGAUCCCAACUCAUGCUUGUCGUGUCGCCAAGGCAUUUGAACACAAAUGACAAAUCAAUCCUGACUGGUUGCUUCGUUCUUCCUUAUCUGAUAUGUCAUUUUCUUGCAAUUUCAAGCGCGUUCAUAUUGAUUUCUUAGAGAAAAAACGCUCCUUGUUGAGUUGCAGUGGAAGAUAUCUAGGAAAGAAAGCCCUUAAUAUUAUUUAGGGAGCACAUGUAGAGUGUAGAGUUGUACCGAGGCAACUCAACUUCGAGUGCUUCACUUCUAGGCCUUGGAUCAUUCUUGACAGCAUAUGUUGUAUCAAUUUUUUUUGGAGCUAUAUAUGAUCCCUCACUGAUUAGUCAUUUGUUUUUUUUUUCUUUUGUAUUUCUCAUUCAUUUUCAAAAUUACUUUCACACCAGUGCAUCCUAAUGAGGGGGGAGAUGUUUUCUCAUCAUAUUUGUUUCUUGUUAACUUAUUUUCCUCAGCAUCAGAUAUUCAUAAGAAAGGGACCACCUAUCUAACAAUAGCUGGUGAUGAUCGGUGAUGGUGGCUUGGCAAGGUUAGGUAUUUAUUUUAUUCUUUUUCUGGUUUGCUCUCUAUAUGAAUUAGUAUUUUUUUUCUGUGUUCGCAGCAAUGCUCAUCCUCUAAUAUGGUGCCUCAUUCAAUUUUUUAUAAUACAGAUGUUUUUUUAUUCAGUAAACAUAUGGACUUAAAUAAAAGUUCAAAUAAAACUUGUACUCUGCAGGUGAAAGAGUGGCGAUAUUUGUACAUUUCUGGAACUGAAAGGAUACAUACCACCUGUUGUUUUCCUGUAGGUAUGUAGAAUGGACACCUUGCAAAUUGAGUAGAAUGCUUAGAUAACAUGUUGAUUAUUUGUGCCUACAUGCUUACCUGGUUGUUUCUUCCAGUAGCAUCAGGGAAUUUGUUGGCGUUCCAGUAAUUUAAGCUCUCAUUUUUACUUUAUUAUGCUGAUCACCAUGACAUAGGCUUUUAUCAAUUUUGGAUGCGGAUUGUUGAUCCCCAAUAUAUUUUACUCUUUUUUCUUCAGAUUCUUUUGCUGGACAAUAAUAAAAUCACAAAGCACCAAUAGAAUGAUCUUAUUAGGUUUUCUUAGGAAGCCAUAAGUUGUCUGUUGUCUCCAAGGAUAGUGAACAAGAGACUCUAUCUGCAGUUCUUGUCAAUACGCUUGACUCCUGGUAUUCGAUUGUCUUGCUAACUAUAUUCUUGAUAAUUUAAUAUAACUGUGCUUUGAUUACUGAAUGUGUUCCUCACAUCCAAUCCAAAAGAUGAGAAUUACCGAAUGCUCCGCACAUAGGAAAUGCUCUAAUGAUGGCAUACCUGUAGCUGACAAUGAACCAAUUAGUGCCAUGCUUCAUCAUGCUUGAUGUGGCAGCACCAGAGCACUGCGUCUUUUCUGAAGGUCAUCAGUAAGCAUUGAUGGGAGGGUUCCACAUGCACAUUGAAAAAAUUAAGAAUAGGACAAGACACAGAAGGAAAUUGAAAAGUACGAGGUAAAUUUACUAUUUCUUUUUCUGAGCUUUAGUUGUCUAGCAUUGCUCCUUUCUUAGUUGUAAUGAAAUGUGUGAAAAUUAGUCAGGUCAACCAUAUUUGAGUUGUGUAUUAUAACAGCUAUCAAAGGUUGUUUGCAACAGGCCUACAAUAUGCUCGCCAAAUUCAUUAUAUUUUUUGAAAAAUAAAAAAAAUUGAUUAUUAUUUGAAAUUGUGAGAGAAUACUGAUUCCUCCAUGUUCUGAAAUUCUAGGAUCCUGAACAUUUCUUACCUUGGUUACAAAUGAAUACAUUGUAAUGAUCUGGUUACCUUUCUUGUGAGAUUUAUCCAAUAACUUGGAUUAAGUUUGAUGGAAGUUUGCAAGAAUCAGGGAAGCAUCAUUGCCUCUGGAAUUUGGCAUAUAACACUGAGGUAAUUACUAGAUAAUGAUAAUUUUUUUUGUUGAUGGGAGCACGAGGUAAUGGUAAUGGUGAUGGGAUUCUCUGUUUGGCCUUGCUGUUAUGUCCAUGCAGCUCGUUUUAACUUCUGAUGUUGUUCCUUGAUUUUCGGAAAGAAGGUUAGUAAAAGGGAGGAAAAUCAGAGGCAGUCCUCCACAGCAAUAGAAAUUAGUCUUAAAGUUUUUUUUUUCAGAAGGAAGCCUGCUUGAAACUUCUUUAAGCUGAAAAUGUUUAAGCUUGAGAAAAUGUUAUUAGAAUUACUGUAAUCUGAAAGGGUUUCUAUGUUGAUAUUACCUGCUCAUUGGUUUCUACGCAUUUUGAGUUGACGUGUUGGAAAAUAAAAAUGUAGUGCUUCACAAAGUUUAAGUUGAUACCUGCUCAGUGUUUUCUAUGCAUUUUGAGUUGACAUGUUAGAAAAUAAAAAUUCAGUAGUGCUUCACAAGGUUUUAAGUUGAUAUUACCUGCUCAAUGUUUUCUAUGCAUUUUGAGUUGACAUGUCAGAAAAUAAAAAUACAGUAGUACUUCACAAGGUUUAUUUAGCUGUCUAGAAAUUUGGUGCAUGAAUUUUUUCUUAUGAAAACUCAAGAAUUCUGAAUUCUUCUCUCUUUUAGGUGUCCUGCUGCUCAUAGUCAACUCCAUCUAGCUCACGAUGCUUGGUCCUGGACUGAUGAAGUAUAGAGCUUGUGCAGGCAAGGCAGGCCUGCGCUGUGGUGAACAACUGCAACCACCACGAAGUCUAUGUCCCCAACACUUUUGGUGUUGCCUUUAGUUUUCGCUUCCUGAUACAAGUAUCUUGCAUUUCAUUUCUGCUGCUGAAUCCGAGGAGAGCACCGGAGGGUGCGAGGACUGCAGGAUCUUGGAUGGCCGUGCAUAAACAAUAGUAAAUGUUUAAGGGAAACAUAUAUACAAUAUCUUUGUGCCUGAUCCGGAGACUAUUUACCUAGAGUAUCACUAGAUCGGAGGUCACUUUUAUAUGUGUUUAUUGGGUCACAUAACAUUUGAGCAUGUUUGGGUGGGUUGGUACUUUGCUUUAGGUCACAAAACAUUUUAGUACUUCGCUUUAGGUGAUUAUUAGUUUCUUCAUUGGCCAUCUCAUCUUCCCCACGAGGAUUGGUGUCAGUUCCAAAAUUGUUAUAUAAAAUACUUGUAUGAGUAUGACUACGUGUUCCCUUGCUCACUCAUCUCAGGAUCAAAGUCUGAAGAUGUAUACGACCGAUCAACAUACGAGUCCAUUAGUUAGUUAUACGAUGGAUUGUUGACAAAACAAUAAUUGUGAUUUCUUAUAUUUAGAUUUGUUAAUAAAUAUUUUGUAUGUAAUCUCUUUUUAAUCACGUACAUGCCGCACGUGCACUUCCACUAGUUAUUAAGAAAGGCAGAUGAGAUCUUUGGUCUAGAAAACAAGGACCUUGUACACCAUCUUUGAGAGUCUAAUUACUCGUAAUGUUCAAUAGACUCCUCGAGGCUAAACAUUUCCCAUAACCACUGGUGAUCCAUGUUUUACCGGUAUAUUGUGAUUAUGAUGUUGGUCAUUUUUUGUAUUUGAAGUCUGUAGUCCGUUGAAGGUUCUUGGUAUAUAGUUUCCUCUAUCCUUUUGCUUGUGCCCAUAUAGUCAUGGGUAGUCUGUAAGCUACAAUUUAUACACUUCAAUACAAAUGGAGAAAAUAUUGGAAUAAGAGGAAAUGUGUUAUAGGUGUGUUAUAUCUCGAACAUAAUAGACAAGUUGCGACUUUGAAACAACUGCAGAAUAGAAGUUUCUUACAUUCACCAGAGUAAAUGAAUCCAUCUGGAGAAAUAUAAUUUUAUUGCUGUAUUAAUUCCCUUUAUGAUUUUAACUCUAUCGAAUAUCUCUUUCUAUUUUUGGAAUCUAAACUGUUGAAAUAUACCGUAAACUGUUUUGACCUUUGGUAUCUAACCUUAAUCCUUUCGCAACAGUAUCGUUUCAGAAAAUUACUUAUUUCAUAUCCUUUGCUAUGUGCGUCAUGAGUUGUUUUUGUGGCCUGCUCCAAAUUGCCUUUUGCUCUUCAAAGCUCCCAACGAUGGCAGAUUGCUUAUUGUUUGUCAACGAAUUUGCCAAAUGGUUGUAAUAUACUCCAUUGUUUAAAUCAUAUAGUAUCUUCAGCAGGUUUGCACUCUUUCUCCUGACCAAAAUUUGCCCAUCUGUGCCUUCGGUUGUGUUGGCAAUAAUGCUUACUGGCUUUAUUUCCACAGAGGGUUCCAACUCAGAUCCUUGGACCAUGUAAACUGCACCAAGAACUUCUCCCAGAAAUAUGUCCUGGAAAAAUGUGUAAAAAAGAUCAAAGACUACAUCAGACGUCAACAAUUGAAAGUGGGCAAUUUACAGAGUCUUAAGGGGCCAUUUACCAUGUGGUGAUACAAUUUCUGUUUCCUCUGAAGUUCCUGUAGCAUCAAGAUCAAACCAUGGACAAACCUUGAUUCGGGAGUAUGCUGCGUGCGUUGCUCCAAAGCUGCAAGGACAUCCUCGAAUGAAGCAACCUUUCGUUGCACGUUAAGAGGAAUGAGUGUGAUAUCCAGACUGGAUUCUAGGACCAUUUUUGCGGCCAGUGGAUCAAGGAACAUGUUAAACUCGGCAUAUCUGUUCGAUGGGACAGUGAACACAUUUCCCUUCUCAUGAUCGCUCUCUCUGAUGUGUCCGCCAACGACAUAAAAUCUCUGCAUACAGAGGAUUAUAAGAUUUUAUCUAAUGAAUAUUGAUUUCGCAUCUGAAUUCAUCACCCAUCAGAACUUCGUUCGAAGUUUCGUACUACCAGGGGGACAAAAAGAACAAACCUCUAUCACAGAGCUUGCAUCCAUGUCAGAUAGUGAAAUGUUGGCCAGAUUGGUGAGAGGUCCACUGGUAAGAACCGUGAUUUUCUCACCUGGACCAAGUUGCUUCCUGAUUGACUGCCAAACAUCAUAAGCAUGUGGCUGCCGGCGCUCUGGAUGAUCUAAAUUUUCAGACAUGUACCUAAUCAUGGAAUGAACAGAUGUAAAAUGCAUUACGACAAUUCUAUAGCAUUAGCAUACAUAUGAAAGUGACGAAAGAAAUAGGAAGAGUGGUUACCUUCUAGGACUUCUUGGCAGUGACCGAGCCAAUCCAUACAAUGUGUCUGAAUCAACAAAUCCACCACUGCCGUGGGGAAUGGCAUAAGAAUUUUUGCAACCAAGGAUUGGAUUGCCCAAUGCAUUGGUAUUUCCUAGACCGACUGGAAUAUCAUCGCGGCCCAUCAUAUGUAGCACGUCGUAAACGAUAUCGAUGCUUGCACUAUUAGCCCAGCCAUUGCCAUUGAUCAAAACAGCCUAAAACAGUUUAGCAAACUGAGUUUUUUUUUCAGGCAUUCAGUGUACAACAGCAUACCGCAUUGUUAGUUGCAAAAAUUAUGCCGUUUGUAACAUAUAUUUCUCUCACCUUUAGAUCAAGUACUUCUCUCGGUUCCUUCAAGAGGUAUAUGAGGGACACAAAAUCUCCAGGGCUCAUGUCCAUGUCAAAAAUGACUGGCUUACCCCUGCUUACAUUCCUGAAAUCAGGCUUGUAGUUCUUAGGGAGAUUUAGAACCUGAAAAGGAAACAAAUUCGAUCAUUGUUGUGCUUGAAGUUCGACAUUGUGAGUUCUGAGCUUUUCAGCUCAAAAACACGCCAAGUAUACUGCUUAGUUACCUCUAGGAAGCUCUUGCAAAAUUCCUUAUCCAGUAAGCUACUUUUAUUGGUGUUUGGCUUCGCGCUUGUUGCGACAUAUACCUGCACUGCUUCUGGACCGGACACUUCCUUAGUGUAUCCAUCCUAAGGAGAAAUGCAGGUUUUCAGGCUUCCGAAGUUCUCAUGCUUUUCAACAUUUCGCAUCCAGUACAUUCCAUUACCUCACAUCUUCCUCUGUUGCUUCCCCGCACCAGGCAGAAGGCAUCUCUGAUCCCAGUCUGAACAUGCCCACUGUGAACUCCACCCUCUUGCAGUCCAAACUUGGGUUUAGCUAGGCCAUCAAAGAAAGGGUUGGAGCCGUCACGCGCGCCGUACGGUUUGUUGGAGGUUACCACGGUGAUGUUCAUGUACUCGAGCUCGGCGAAUUCAUUGCCGCCGCCGUUGGUUUCGCCAUGGCGCAUGCUGGAGAGAGCCACUCCGGCGGCGAAGUAGUCCCACAUGUAGUAGCCCUGCAAAUUCAUUGAAGCGUAAGGAAUUCGUGGAGAACUCGACGUUUUAUUACAAGGGCCGGAGAUGGAUGGGUUCAGAGUGCUUCAGACUACUUGCCGUGUUGUUAUGGCUGUCGGAGCGCCUCCUGUGCCGCGCCAGACCUGGUCCAGCGACUGGAAGCCGUAAUGCGCCUCGUACGUGCUCUGGCGCCGCCGGAACUCGGAGUUGAACUCCUCCGUCACGGGCACCAUGUACGUGGCGUCGAGAGGGAUCAGCGUGACAGGCACGCCCGAGUGGAGCACCUGGUACGCGGCGAAGGGGUCGCCGAAGAAGUUGAAGUUGGCGAACGGGUUGGCGGCGGUGGCGGUGAAGAGGUUGCCGGCGACCCGCACGGCGCCGCCGGAGACGUAGACGCGUUCCACGUUCCGCCUCAGGUGCGGGCGCGUCGCGAGGAGGAUCGCGAGGUUGGUGUGCGCGCCGAGGAGGAUCACCGAAGUCGGGCCGGAGGAGAGCGUGUCCGCCAUCACCCGCUGCGCCGUGGGCUGCCGGUACCCCCGAGGACCCUGCGGGAGGAAGCCCCUCCGGACGCCGGAGUUGGUGUCGAUAUCCAGCCGCCCGCCGAGCCCCGGUGGGAUGGCCUGCCUGUAGCGGCAGCCGCCGGCCGUCGACAUGCCCUGCAUUGAUACCUCACGUCAAAUGCAUGGUGCUAAGCGCUAACUUGGAGCACUGGAUCGAUUGCGUCAGUUGAGGUACCUGGUCGAUGAGUGGCAGGUAGCCGCCAACGUUGGGGCGUAUGUCGCCGGCGCCGGAUAUCCCGCCGUCGCCGCCGACGCCGACGGCGAUGUCGUCGCGGCCCAUCAUGUAGAGGAUGUCGUAGAGGUGGUUGACGGCGUGCCCGGCGUCGCUCCACUCGUUGGCGUUGAUGGUAAUGGCCUGCAUUGUUCACAGCAACAAUAGUGACGCACUAGCCGGCCUUGACUGAGAGAUGUGGAUCAGAUACGGGGCAUAUGGCUCAUCAAAUUGACGGCCACGAGGCGUUGAAGUCAGGCAUGCCGCUGGCUGCAACGACGACGACGAGAGUCAAAGCCAAGAUGCGCCUUCGCUGUCCGUAUCUAUCUCCUCCACCUCAGGUGCCUUUGGCAGAGCGGCUCCACGGAUGGCUUCUGUUGAAGCUGUGCCAAACAUCCACCCAAAAAACGGCUUCGGUCGCGGAGCACCCGUAAAGCCGUUCUCCAAUUUGCACUAGCAAGGCGAAGCCGGAAAAACCGGCUCCCCGCUGCUCCCUCCCCGUCCGCGCCCCACUCGUUACGAAACUACCCCUGGACUACCCCUGGACUACCCCUGGAGGGUUGGGAGUUGAGGUCCAUCCCCUCCAUCCUGCCGGAUCCGCGUCGAGGAGGGACGCCACAGCCGCCGGAGGAGGAAGCCGCCGCGGUGAAGCCGGGAUUGUGGUGGGCGGCGGGAUCCUGCUGGCACACUCUAGAAGGUAUGCGGCUCGUACGCUUGCACGAUCUGGUUGGUUCCAAACGGGCCCUUAGUUGGGCUUUUUGGUUUCCACGAGCCUUUCACGUUUAGUGGAACGGCCCAGCGUAGGGCGACGACGACGCAGGUUGCUGCAGCAUAGCUCUGAAACUGCUGCAUUGUUGCUGCAGCGUUGAAACUCUGAAACUACCGAAUGUAUUGUGCCCCAGGCUGCUGUGCCAAACAAUUUCUAAAGUAAACCUGGACAAGUGAGGGAAUGAUAAUGAUGGCCAACAGAUGAAGAACAACGUCGUGGCAAACGAACUGAAUGCACAUGAAUAGCCUAGCGUGAAGCAGAGAACUGAGAGCAUGUCAAAAGCAAAAGCUGUUGCUCACUUUCAUCAGUGAAAGCUAUAGGGAAUGAAUAUAGCAUAAUCAUUGCUUCUUGUUCCAAUAUCAAUUUCGAUAACAUCAAUCGCAGUUCUGCAAAGCCGCGCCGCGAGGAGCUUAGCAGAAGCUAGCUGAAUCUUACAUAUGAUAUGCAAAAGCAAAUUUGGCAGAAGCAGUUCCGUGAACAGCUGAACCCAUUUUUUCAGGCUUAUGUACAGGAGCACCUAUUAAUUAUACGGGAUAUACUUAAACAGCGGCCGCCGCGC